CCUACGGGAGGCAGCAGUGGGGAAUAUUGCACAAUGGGCGCAAGCCUGAUCCAGCCAUGCCGCGUGCGUGAAGAAGGCCUUCGGGUUGUAAAGCACUUUAAGCGGGGAGGAAGGCGGUGAGGUUAAUAACCUCAUCGAUUGAAGUUACCCGCAGAAGAAGCACCGGCUAACUCCGUGCCAGCAGCCGCGGUAAUACGGAGGGUGCAAGCGUUAAUCGGAAUUACUGGGCGUAAAGCGCACGCAGGCGGUCUGUCAAGUCGGAUGUGAAAUCCCCGGGCUCAACCUGGGAACUGCAUUCGAAACUGGCAGGCUAGAGUCUUGUAGAGGGGGGUAGAAUUCCAGGUGUAGCGGUGAAAUGCGUAGAUAUCUGAAGGAAUACCGGUGGCGAAGGCGGCCCCCUGGACAAAGACUGACGCUCAGGUGCGAAAGCGUGGGGAGCAAACAGGAUUAGAUACCCGUGUAGUC
rnacentral:rRNA from 1 species